rnacentral:tRNA from 1 species
GGUCCUGUAGCUCAGGGGUAGAGCAGCUGACUUUUAAUCAGUUGGUCAUGCGUUCAAAUCGCAUCGGGACCA